GUAGGGAAUAUUGGGCAAUGGAGGCAACUCUGACCCAGCCAUGCCGCGUGCAGGAUGACGGCCCUCUGGGUUGUAAACUGCUUUUAUACGGGAAGAAAAAAUACUACGUGUAGUAUACUGACGGUACCGUAAGAAUAAGGAUCGGCUAACUCCGUGCCAGCAGCCGCGGUAAUACGGAGGAUCCAAGCGUUGUCCGGAGUUAUUGGGUGUAAAGGGUGCGUAGGCGGAUCUUUAAGUCAGUGGUGAAAGCCUGCAGCUUAACUGUAGAAUUGCCAUUGAAACUGAAGAUCUUGAAUGUGGUUAAAGUAGGCGGAAUGUAUCAUGUAGCGGUGAAAUGCUUAGAUAUGAUACAGAACACCGAUAGCGAAGGCAGCUUGCUGAACUAUUAUUGACGCUGAGGCACGAAAGCGUGGGGAGCGAACAGGAUUAGAAACCCCGGUAGUCC
rnacentral:rRNA from 1 species